CCCAGUAAACGGCGGCCGUAACUAUAACGGUCCUAAGGUAGCGAAAUUCCUUGUCAGGUAAGUUCUGACCCGCACGAAAGGCGUAAUGAUUUGGGCACUGUCUCGACAGCGCACCCGGUGAAAUUGUAGUACCAGUGAAGAUGCUGGUUACCCGCGACAGGACGGAAAGACCCCGUGGAGCUUUACUGUAACUUGAUACUGAGGUUGGGUAUUACAUGUACAGGAUAGGAGGGAGGCUAAGAAGCCAGGACGCCAGUCUUGGUGGAGCCACCGGUGGGAUACCUCUCUUGUAAUACUUAACUUCUAACCAGAGCCCGUUACCCGGGUUUGGGACAAUGUCAGGUGGACAGUUUGACUGGGGCGGUCGCCUCCGAAAGAGUAACGGAGGCGCUCAAAGGUAACCUCAGAAUGGUCGGAAACCAUUCGAAGAGUGCAAAGGCAGAAGGUUGCUUGACUGCGACACCGACGGGUGGAGCAGGUACGAAAGUAGGACUUAGUGAUCCGGUGGUAUGAAAGUGGGAUUGCCAUCGCUCAACGGAUAAAAGCUACCCCGGGGAUAACAGGCUUAUCUCCCCCAAGAGUUCACAUCGACGGGGAGGUUUGGCACCUCGAUGUCGGCUCAUCGCAUCCUGGAGCUGAAGCAGGUUCCAAGGGUUGGGCUGUUCGCCCAUUAAAGCGGUACGCGAGCUGGGUUCAGAACGUCGUGAGACAGUUCGGUCCCUAUCCGUCGUGGGCGUAGGAAGUUUGAGAGGCGUUGUCCUUAGUACGAGAGGACCGGGAUGAACGGACCGCUGGUGCAUCUGUUAGGCUGCCAAGCCUAUAGCAGAGUAGCCAAGUCUGGAACUGAUAAACGCUGAAGGCAUCUAAGCGUGAAACAGACCUCAAGAUAAGACUUCCCAUCCGAAAGGAGUAAGACCCCUUGUAGACUACGAGGUAGAUAGGUUGGAGGUGUAAGCAUGGUAACAUGUGUAGCUGACCAAUACUAACGGUUCGAGGGUUUGACCUA
rnacentral:rRNA from 1 species